UGCUUCUGGUUGAAGACUGGGGGAUGAAGCAUAAAGUGGGUUUAAAUCUAAAGGUUCGGAUUCUGGUUCUGGGACAGCGGGAAGGAUUGGUGGGUUGAUAUCAGAAGUGUGGGGAUCAGAUGGUUGAAUUUCAGAGGGUUGAGUUUCAGAGGGUAUGGUGGUUGUUUGUUGUAGUGGUGAAGUUAUUUCAGGUUCUGUGGUUUGUGUUUGUUGUGAAGCA
rnacentral:lncRNA from 1 species